GCCUGUUCUGGAUGUAAUAGGAGAGAGGAGGAGGGCGUGUUGGCGUAGGAAAAUGCGGUUUCCAUAGUGCCGGGAAAGGGCGGGCCUGGGCGGGAGCGGGGAGCUGGGAGCGGGUGCUGGCGGGCGUCCUUCCCGCGCCCCGCGCCCUUACCGCACCCAGCCCGCACCCCAAGUCCUGCUCACCCCACACCCGGGAUACCGGCGGGCGUCGCCGUAUCUAGGAGCGCGGCCGCGGGCACAGGGCCAAGCCAAAGAUGCCCUUGAACUACUGCUUUGAAUUUCUCUAUCUACGUGGCCUUUGUGACUUUCAAAGUCGAGGGCAAAUAAGCACCAGCACGUCAGUCUCCUAACAGAAUGAGGGCCGCUAGAAAGGCAGUGAUCCGAGUUCACAGAGGGCAGGCUAGGAAUCCUGAUCGAGCAUCAAUGUCAGUCUCUGAGCAAUUAAUGUUUAACCGGUUUCGAAGCUGACUGGACCUGUCUCCGACACUGCAGCUUCAAAGAGGAGUUUGUAGCCAUCUGCCCAUGCUGUGGGGAACCUUCCAGAAGUGAACGACAAGGGACGGGCAACACAGAAGGGUCAGCUCUGUGCAUGUAACUGGCACUACACUCCCUGCCCUUCCUGUCCAGCUGCUUCUUAAAUAUGACUGAUUCACCAGCCACCUGCCCCCGUGAUCAGUUCCUUCUUUAAGUUUGAAAUAAAUUUCCAUCUGAAAUGA